rnacentral:misc_RNA from 1 species
CAAGGUCAAGAGUAUCAACGUCGAAUCCUGCAUCGAAAUAGUGAUCGUAAACGUGUCCAGGAGCAUCGACGUGGGUACCAGUGUGGGUGGGAAGCUUCAUCUCGGAGUUGUUAGCGAGAGAGCCGUUCUUCAUGCUGGCUGGGAGCCAGAGAAACUGCCCCAACCCGUUCUCCCUACCCCACGACGGCAUGUCGGUCGUGUACCGGUGAGUGAUGUCAAAGAUUCUCCCGUCGCCAUAAACUUCGCGACGAAUUGGGUUCAGGUCGUCGUUAUGGGAAGCGGAAACAGAGGUAUCAGUUGUGCCGGGGAUGGUUGGGUAGGCUUCGGUGGAGGCAGUGGCGCAAAAGGGGGAAAGAAGCAGUAGGAGCAGCAGAGAGGUCAUGGUUUUGAUUGCGGUUUCUGCCAUUGUUGAAGCAAAGAGUGAAGAUCUUGAAAGUAUGGAUAGUUAGAUUUGAAUUAGAAUCAAGGAAUGUUAACUCAUCCGUUCCGGUGUUUAUAAGGGAAUACAACACACGAGACACGCGCGGCAAGUGUAUUGAAAGGUGAAAGAUAGCGUAAUUGACCAGAAGUCGUGGAUGAUAUUUUGAAGC